rnacentral:rRNA from 1 species
UGUGCCAGCCGCCGCGGUAAUUCCAGCUCCAAUAGCGUAUAUUAAAGUUGUUGUGGUUAAAAAGCUCGUAGUUGAACCUUGGGCCUGGCUGGCCGGUCCGCCUCACCGCGUGUACUGGUCCGGCCAGGCCUUUCCCUCUGUGGAACCCUAUGCCCUUCACUGGGUGUAGCGGGGAAACAGGACCUUUACUUUGAAAAAAUUAGAGUGCUCCAGGCAGGCCUUUGCUCGAAUACAUUAGCAUGGAAUAAUAAAAUAGGACGUGUGGUUCUAUUUUGUUGGUUUCUAGGACCGCCGUAAUGAUUAAUAGGGACAGUCGGGGGCAUCAGUAUUCAAUUGUCAGAGGUGAAAUUCUUGGAUUUAUUGAAGACUAACUACUGCGAAAGCAUUUGCCAAGGAUGUUUUCAUUAAUCAGGAACGAAAGUUAGGGGAUCGAAGACGAUCAGAUACCGUCGUAGUCUUAACCAUAAACUAUGCCGACUAGGGAUCGGACGAUGUUAAAAAUUGACUCGUUCGGCACCUUACGAGAAAUCAAAGUGCUUGGGCUCCAGGGGAAGUAUGGUCGCAAGCCUGAAACUUAAAGAAAUUGACGGAAGGGCACCACCAGGGGUGGAGCCUGCGGCUUAAUUUGACUCAACACGGGGAAACUCACCAGGUCCAGACACAAUGAGGAUUGACAGAUUGAGAGCUCUUUCUUGAUUUUGUGGGUGGUGGUGCAUGGCCGUUCUUAGUUGGUGGAGUGAUUUGUCUGCUUAAUUGCGAUAACGAACGAGACCUUAACCUGCUAACUAGCCCGUAUUGCUUUGGCAGUACGCCGGCUUCUUGGAAGGGACUAUCGG